ACGAACGCUGGCGGCAGGCCUAACACAUGCAAGUCGAACGAGAAGCCACCUUCGGGUGGUGGAUAGUGGCAGGCGGGUGAGUAACGCGUGGGAACGUGCCUUUCGAUUCGGGAUAACCCAGGGAAACUUGGGCUAAUACCGGAUACGCCCUCCGGGGGAAAGAUUCAUUGCCGAAAGAUCGGCCCGCGUCGGAUUAGCUAGUUGGUGGGGUAAAAGCCUACCAAGGCGACGAUCCGUAGCUGGUCUGAGAGGAUGACCAGCCACACUGGGACUGAGACACGGCCCAGACUCCUACGGGAGGCAGCAGUGGGGAAUAUUGGACAAUGGGCGCAAGCCUGAUCCAGCCAUGCCGCGUGGGUGAAGAAGGCCCUAGGGUUGUAAACCCCUUUCAGCGGGGAAGAUAAUGACGGUACCCGCAGAAGAAGCCCCGGCUAACUCCGUGCCAGCAGCCGCGGUAAU
rnacentral:rRNA from 1 species